AUACUUAAAUUUGUUUUUGAUAUCAAUUAGAAAAGUUUUACAGGUGGAUUUACUUGCUCUCUUUAGCUUUCUGCUAUUUCAACAUCUUUCUACUGUUUUUCAUGUUUGAAGAUUCUUUCUUUAGGACUUAUUAUACAUUUUUUUUUGUGGAAUUUUCUUUAUCUAAUGCAUCGUAUUUCCUUAUUUUCAAUUUUCUUUUCUUUAUUCAAGCUGAUGAUAGUUCUCUACGUGUUGGAACGUAAUCAUGUGUGUUAAGAGUAUUUGGUGUUGUCUACUUCUACAUUUUUAAUAAAUCUACAUUUUUGAGUUAAUUUUUGCAGUUUAGUUAUGUUGAAGAUCCAUGUUGUUAACAUGGUGUUGAAACCAUACCAACACAUCCAUGUUGUGUGAUUCUCAACGUUUGGUUCACUGUUUUGUUGUUGUGUUAGGGUGUCUCCAUAGGUUGUCAGAGUGACAUGUUGUCUCUGAAUGUUAGAUAAUAAUGUGUUGCAGUAGAAAUGUUGAAGUUUAUUAAUUUUAAUAAGUGACUUUAGUUGUUUAAUUAAUAAUUUAGAAUGCUAAUGCUAAGUCAUAACAAUGGGAAGUAGGUGUUAUAGAGGAGAGUGCCCGUGCUUCGCACGGGUGUGCCCAAUUAUAGUAGUUGCAAACCACACAGGAGAGAUAACCCGUACUAGGUAAGCCCGGUGUGACGAGCUCGACGAGCUUGAACCUAAUUUAAUUAUUUUGUUAGUUAUGUCAUUGUUUUUUCUUCAUUUUACUUUCUAUUUCUUACUCCCUUGUAAUGUCUCAGUGUCCAAAUAAUUUGUCAAGUUUGUCAUAAAAAAAAAUAAAAAAAAUUGUCAAGUUUAAGUUUCUUUAAUUAAGAAUAGCGGAAUGCUCAAAUUUGCGACUAUUAUAACUGAAUCUUAUUAUUUAAAUUUGAACAUAGAUUCAGGCGGGAUCCAAACCAUUUUGCAGAGACAUCCUAUCAGCCGCCAGGAGACAUUAGCAUUUUAUGCAAGGAGAGCACAGAGCUGGACUCAGGGAACUUACAUCAAGUUUACCAAGUUUACCAAGCAAAGGAUGGAAAUAGCUUAUGUUAUGAUGACUGCCAAAUCUGAGACUAUUUUUCCCUUUAUUUUAGCUAGGUGGACACACAAAUUCUGAAUCUGAGGACUAAAACAUGCACAAAAGACAAAAAACUUGACAAGAAGUGCCUUGAAGAGGUAUGAAUUCACAUAAUCAAGUUUGAUAUCCUUCCUAUCCAGUUAUGACAAAAACCUGCAUACUUCCCAAUUUUCUGGUGUGCAAAUAUGUGUCAGCUAUGCAACCCAAUUGACCCUUUGAUGUACAAAAAAGAGAGGCCACCUCUACUAAACAAAGUAACAUUAAUACCAUUUACAAUCUCCAUUUUAAAUUAUUAGUAUUUUCUAAGUUGGUAUGGUAUAUAAAUUUGAUGAUUCAUGUCGGCACAAAGAUACUCGAAAAGAAAAUAUUGGGGCGAAGAUAUUUGGAAACAAAGUCAUCGGAUUGUUAUCUAGGUGCUAAGCUAUAAGAUAAGACUAUUCUUCAUUUUUCGAACCUCUAUAUGCUCCCAGUCUAAUAACAAAAAUAUGCUACCUCUCACAGGAAGACUAUAGCUUAAAAUGAAUAAAUAUGUUUUCUUCUUUUCUGAUAAGGCUAUGUGAUGAUAUUUGUGUAACUCUAAAGGGAAAAGUUUACAUGUUAUGUAAUUAUUUGUGGCACUGGAGCUAUAGGUGAAACACAUAAGGGCACUCUGUUAAAUAAGUGAGAAUUUAACUUUGUUAAAUAAUUAUUAUGGUACUUUACUUCAUUUUGUUACUGUCCAUUUAUAAUGUUUGAUGGUGUAUGCGAAGAGCAAAAUUGUUGGAUUGAAAUGGUCUACUCUACUUUAGGUAAACUUUACUCACAUUGCUAAGUUUUACAAUUCAAAAGAAUUAAGCUAAAAUCCCAAUUUUUCUCCCAAGUUCUUAGCUGAUUUUAAUUUUCUUCUCUAUCAACAUUUGUUCUAUUCUUUGUGCCAGUAAGCAAAGUAAGAGUCAUUAAACUUUCUUUAUGUUUUACAGUAUUACUUUGCUAUCUACUGGAUUGUGUAAGUUUAUUCCUUCAAUUUCUUCCCACGUCAUGAAAGAGUUUCAUCUUGCAAGAGCAUACUUAUGUUCAACUGUCAAUCUCAUGUAGAUGUUGGAGCACCUAUAAUCUUUCUACUUGUGUCUUUCUAGCAAGCUACCUAUGUAACUUUGUUCCACAAACUAUGUCUCUGUUUUGCCUUUCGUGCAAACUACUCCCGUAACUUUGUUCCACAAAUGAAUGUAAUAUAGUAUG